GGGCAGCUGAGCGUGAAGAAAAGAAUGGACUCGAGCUCUGCAGGAGUACCUGCCCUGCCCGAGGACACCCAAUAGGUCGCAGAGCAACUGAAUACAGAUCCUGGAGUUCAGCUGAUACCUGUUUGACUUAAAGUCCAGCCAUUAACUACCUCACUUCACCACCUCCCUAGGAGAGGACUCUUCCUGCCUUAACUCAAGCGUCACUGUUCAAAUUCUAAUUGGAUUUCACUUAUGUGACAGCAAGAAAUAGCUCUGCGACCAGAACAGAGGACACAGCCUUGAGGAGAAAAGACGACCAGUGCCAGUGCGCUCUCUCUCCCCCUCUCUCCCUCUCUUCCUUUCUCUCUCUGUCUCUCUCUGUCUCUCUGUCUCUCUUUCUCUCUCUGUGUCUCUCUCUCUCCUCUCUUCUCUCUUUUCUUCUCUCCUUCUCUCCUCCCUCUCCACCUCCUGUCUGGCAACAGCACCUACCAAAUCAUCUGAGAGCUAUCACACAGUAUCAGAAUUAGAUUGCUUGGGAGGUUCUACACUGUAGAAAUCAUGCUGUUUGGGGCUGGGGAUUUAGCUCAGCAGCAUAAGCGCCUGUCUUGCAAGCCUGUGGUUGUGAGUUCAAUCCCUGGUACCGGUAAAAAUACAAAAAAAAAAGAAAUCAUGCUGUUUGUAGUUAUCACUGUCAGAAGUCCGAAGAUAGUAUCAUGAACUGAAUGUUGAGAUUUGCAAAAUGACAGAAGAGAUAUACAGUUCUGCAAGAGAUGCUCAGCCUGCUUUUUUGUAAUGUGGAAUGGAGU